GUUACAUGAGUUUCAUUCAGAUUGACACAACACUAUACAAGCCUUUGUUUGCACAGUGAAAAUUGUAAUAGCCGUUUGUAGCUUACACUGAGACAAAAUUAUUGUUGUUUUCAGAUCUAGGAUGACUAUGAUCAAAGCACUUAUUCUUUUGUUGUGUGUCGCUGUUGCCUUUGGAUUCCAAUAUGGUUACUAUGGCGACGACGAUCGCUUCGAUUUGUUAGAUGAUGACUAUUAUCGUCUACCUCACGGAGGAAGAGGAUACAGUGGUGCGAGAUAUAUCAGACCAAAUGUCUACCCUAAAUAUGCUGUACACAGAGUUAUAAGCAGGCCAUCUAUACUUAUCCACGGUGGAUACUGAAAACCUGCAGGCAGAACAAAGAACAUCCCAAGAAAAACUGGUCACAGUCCACUGAAAAAAGUGCAACAGUGACAGAUAGGAGCAGUUGUCUCCAUUUCAACGAUGCUCUAAUUUAAUGUGAUUAAAGGACGAGUUUUUUAGUA